rnacentral:rRNA from 1 species
AGCGGACAGAUGGGAGCUUGCUCCCUGAUGUUAGCGGCGGACGGGUGAGUAACACGUGGGUAACCUGCCUGUAAGACUGGGAUAACUCCGGGAAACCGGGGCUAAUACCGGAUGCUUGUUUGAACCGCAUGGUUCAAACAUAAAAGGUGGCUUCGGCUACCACUUACAGAUGGACCCGCGGCGCAUUAGCUAGUUGGUGAGGUAAUGGCUCACCAAGGCGACGAUGCGUAGCCGACCUGAGAGGGUGAUCGGCCACACUGGGACUGAGACACGGCCCAGACUCCUACGGGAGGCAGCAGUAGGGAAUCUUCCGCAAUGGACGAAAGUCUGACGGAGCAACGCCGCGUGAGUGAUGAAGGUUUUCGGAUCGUAAAGCUCUGUUGUUAGGGAAGAACAAGUACCGUUCGAAUAGGGCGGUACCUUGACGGUACCUAACCAGAAAGCCACGGCUAACUACGUGCCAGCAGCCGCGGUAAUACGUAGGUGGCAAGCGUUGUCCGGAAUUAUUGGGCGUAAAGGGCUCGCAGGCGGUUUCUUAAGUCUGAUGUGAAAGCCCCCGGCUCAACCGGGGAGGGUCAUUGGAAACUGGGGAACUUGAGUGCAGAAGAGGAGAGUGGAAUUC